rnacentral:lncRNA from 1 species
AUGUUUGGUAUCCUCAAUAAAUUGCCGGGUCGACCCGCAAAAAUUAUAUAAUCAUGGCUUAUCUUGCCUUAUCUUGGCUUAUCUUGCCUUCUAAUGAGUUUUUUUUGUUGGACGUUUCAAGCUCCAAUAAAAUAAUUGGGUCUCAUUAGAUUAUUUAAUCUUAUCUUGGCUAAUCUUAUCUUGCCAACCAAACGGGGCCUU